GAUGAAAGGGGGAGCCCAGCGCAUAACCUCGCGGUCCCAGCCGCGAGGGGUGUUGCGUUUCGGUGGAUCCGUCCCGCCCGAGCCGUUCGGCGCCUAAGUCACUGCUUGAAAGCAGCCCCCGGGAGGGUGAUAGGCCCGUGUGGCGGCGCCCGCCAGAGGGUCAGGGCGGUUCGGGCGGAGGGAUCUCCACCGCAGAGUCGGGUUGCUUAGUACUGCAGCCCUAAGCAGGUGGUAAACUCCAUCUAAGGCUAAAUACAAACCACGAGACCGAUAGAGAACAAGUACCGUGAGGGAAAGUUGAAAAGGACUUUGAAGAGAGAGUUCAAGAGGACGUGAAACCGUUAGAAGCCAAACGGGUGGAACCGCGAAGGUCGAACGAGGGGAUUCAGCCCGUCGGCCGGCAGCGGCGGCGGACGGCUCGCUCGACACGGGCGUGAGGACCGGGCGCGAGGCGUCCCGGCUCCGUCCCCGCCUCCCCCUUGCCGGCGGGCUUAUUUCUCCCUCCAGUAGGUCGCCGCGACCCGUGGCGGGGACCCCGAGGCCGUCCCGGAUCGGAAGGCUCCCUCGCGGAGCCGACGCCGGGCGCGGUUCUGGCGGCCCCUGCGACGGUCACUGCGGGGAGGUCGUUGCUCGCAGCAACCUCCCUCGCGGCGUGCAAGGGAUCGGUGACCCACCCGACCCGUCUUGANNNNNNNNNNNNNNNNNNNNNNNNNNGCGCGAGUCUAAGGGCGACUAAACCCGGAGGCGAAAUGAAAGUGAGCAACACUGGUUGCAGGCCGAACCCCGGCCGUCCAGGUCGACCGGUCUCGGCGGUCCCGCGCUCUAUGAUUGAAUCAGAAUGUCUAGUGGGCCACUUUUGGUAAGCAGAACUGGCGCUGUGGACGAGGACUUGCCGCUCGGCGGCCCGGGGCGACGGGGGCCUCGCGCCCUCGUUCCCCGGCGUCCGCCGGCAAGUACCUGAGAGCGCACCCGUUGGGACCCGAAAGAUGGUGAACUAUGCCUGGCCAGGACGAAGCCAGGGGAAACCCUGGUGGAGGUCCGAAGCAGUUCUGACGUGCAAAUCGAUUGGCAGAGCUGGGUAUAGGGGCGAAAGACUAAUCGAACCAUCUAGUAGCUGGUUCCCUCCGAAGUUUCCCUCAGGAUAGCUGGCAUUCGGAGUUUAAAAAUGGGAUGAGUUUCAUCCGGUAAAGCCAAUGAUUAGAGGCCUUGGGGGUGCAAUGCCCUCAACCUAUUCUCAAACUUUAAAUGGGUGAGAUGUGGAGCUUGCUUGAUCACACAAUGUUCGAAGCUCUAUGAUUGAAUCAGAAUGUCUAGUGGGCCACUUUUGGUAAGCAGAACUGGCGAUGUGGGAUGAACCAAACGCGCGAGUUAAGGGGCCUAAAGGAAUGCUAAUGUUGACACUACGAAAAGGUGUUGGUUGCUAUAGACAGCAGGGCGGUGGCCAUGGAAGUCGGAAUCCGCUAAGGAGUGUGUAACAACUCACCUGCCGAAGCAACUAGCCCUUAAAAUGGUAUGGCGCUCAAGCAUUCUCCCGAUACUCGGCCGCCGGGGCACUACGGGCCCUGAGAAGGGUCUCGAAGCCCCGGCGAGUAGGAGGGUCGCAGCGGUGAGCGCAGAAGGGACCCGGCGCAGGCCGGCCUGGAGCCGCCGCUGGUGCAGAUCUUGGUGGUAGUAGCAAAUAAUCAAGAGAGAACCUCGUUGACUGAUGUGGGGAAGGGUUCCAUGUCAACAUCAGUUGGACAUGGGUGAGUCAGACCUAAGCCCAAGGAUAAACUUCCUGCGUUCCAGGACUCCCCAAGCGACUGAAGGAAGGUCGUCGUUGUCUGCUGCUGCUGUGGCGGCUCGUGCGGUGCUGCCGGCGAUGCCAAGACGGCAGCAGCAGCAACAACAACAAGCAUAUGAGCAAAUGCUGGAGGGGACGCAGU
rnacentral:rRNA from 1 species